rnacentral:rRNA from 1 species
UGGGGAAUUUUGGACAAUGGGGGAAACCCUGAUCCAGCCAUCCCGCGUGUGCGAUGAAGGCCUUCGGGUUGUAAAGCACUUUUGGCAGGAAAGAAACGUCGCGGGUUAAUACCCCGCGAAACUGACGGUACCUGCAGAAUAAGCACCGGCUAACUACGUGCCAGCAGCCGCGGUAAUACGUAGGGUGCAAGCGUUAAUCGGAAUUACUGGGCGUAAAGCGUGCGCAGGCGGUUCGGAAAGAAAAAUGUGAAAUCCCAGAGCUUAACUUUGGAACUGCAUUUUUAACUACCGGGCUAGAGUGUGUCAGAGGGAGGUGGAAUUCCGCGUGUAGCAGUGAAAUGCGUAGAUAUGCGGAGGAACACCGAUGGCGAAGGCAGCCUCCUGGGAUAACACUGACGCUCAUGCACGAAAGCGUGGGGAGCAAACAGGAUUAGAUACCCUGGUAGUCCACGCCCUAAACGAUGUCAACUAGCUGUUGGGGCCUUCGGGCCUUGGUAGCGCAGCUAACGCGUGAAGUUGACCGCCUGGGGAGUACGGUCGCAAGAUU